UUCCUGCUAGGUGCCAUAUUCAUUGCUUUAAGCUCAAGUCGCAUCUUACUAGUGAAGUAUUCUGCCAAUGAAGAAAACAAGUAUGAUUAUCUUCCAACUACUGUGAAUGUGUGCUCAGAACUGGUGAAGCUAGUUUUCUGUGUGCUUGUGUCAUUCUGUGUUAUAAAGAAAGGCCAUGGCUGUUAUCUUCUCAAAUUUUAGCAUUAUAACAACAGCUCUUCUAUUCAGGAUAGUGCUGAAGAGGCGUCUAAACUGGAUCCAGUGGGCUUCCCUCCUGAUUUUAUUUUUGUCUAUUGUGGCCUUGACUGCCGGGACUAAAACUUUACAGCACAACUUGGCAGGACAUGGAUUUCAUCAUGAUGCCUUCUUCAGCCCUUCCAAUUCCUGCCUUCUUUUCAGAAGUGAGUGUCCCAGAAAAGACAAUUGUACAGCAAAGGAAUGGACUUUUCCUGAAGCUAAAUGGAACACCACAGCCAGGGUUUUCAGUCACAUCCGUCUUGGCAUGGGCCAUGUUCUUAUUAUAGUCCAGUGUUUUAUUUCUUCAAUGGCUAAUAUCUAUAAUGAAAAGAUAUUGAAGGAAGGGAACCAGCUCGCUGAAAGCAUCUUCAUACAGAACAGCAAACUCUAUUUCUUUGGCAUUCUGUUUAAUGGGCUGACUCUGGGCCUUCAGAGGAGUAACCGUGAUCAGAUUAAGAACUGUGGAUUUUUUUAUGGCCACAAUGCGUUUUCAGUAGCCCUUAUUUUUGUAACCGCAUUCCAGGGCCUUUCAGUGGCUUUCAUUCUGAAGUUCCUGGAUAACAUGUUCCAUGUCUUGAUGGCCCAGGUUACCACUGUCAUUAUCACAACGGUGUCUGUCCUGGUCUUUGACUUCAGGCCCUCCCUGGAAUUUUUCUUGGAAGCCCCAUCAGUCCUUCUCUCUAUAUUUAUUUAUAAUGCCAGCAAGCCUCAAGGUCCGGAAUAUGCACCUAGGCAAGAAAGGAUCCGAGAUCUAAGUGGCAAUCUUUGGGAGCGUUCCAGCGGGGAUGGAGAAGAACUGGAAAGACUUACCAAACCCAAGAGUGAUGAGUCAGAUGAAGAUACUUUCUAACUGGUACCCACAUAGUUGGCAGCUCUCUCGAACCUUAUUUUCACAUUUUCAGUGUUUGUAAUAUUUAUCUUUUCACUUUGAUAAACCAGAAAUGUUUCUAAAUCGUAAUAUUCUUUGCAUAUAUCUAGCUACUCCCUAAAUGAUUCCAUCCAAGGCUUAGAGUACCCAAAGGCUAAGAAAUUCUAAAGAACUGAUACAGGAGUAACAAUAUGAAGAAUUCAUUAACAUCUCAGUACUUGAUAAAUCAGCAAGAUGUAUUUGCAGAUUAUUUUCCUUGGCCUUCAAGCUUCCAAAAAACUUGUAAUAAUCAUGUUAGCUUAUAUAUACACAUAGAGAUCAAUUUGCCAGAUAUUCACAAUUAUGUAGUUCUAGUUUACAUGCCAAAAGUCUUCCCUUUUUUAACAUUAUAAAUA
rnacentral:sRNA from 1 species